GACGAACGCUGGCGGCGCGCUUAACACAUGCAAGUCGUGCGGUGUCGAAGGCAAGUCUUACGACAAGCCUUCGACACAGCGGCGAACGGGUGAGUAACACGUGAGUAGCUGUCCUAAGGAGGGGGAUAACGCCUGGAAACGGGUGCUAAUACCCCAUAUGCCUCGCAAGAGGUGAAAGUGUACUUGCUACAGCCUUAGGGUGUGCUCGCGGCCUAUCAGCUAGUUGGUGAGGUAACGGCUCACCAAGGCUAAGACGGGUAGCCGGCCUGAGAGGGUGUACGGCCACACUGGAAUUGAGAUACGGUCCAGACUCCUACGGGAGGCAGCAGUGGGGAAUCUUGGGCAAUGGGCGGCAGCCUGAACCAGCCAUCCCGCGUGAAGGAAGAAUGCGCUAUGCGUUGUAAACUUCUUUUCCAGGAGAAUAAAAUGCCAUACGUGUAUGGUACUGAAGGUAUCCUGGGAAUAAGCAUCGGCUAACUCCGUGCCAGCAGACCGG
rnacentral:rRNA from 1 species